rnacentral:rRNA from 1 species
CAANGGGGGGGCCUAUACAUGCAAGUCGUAACGCAUNGNCUUUUAUCCACCGGNAGCUUGCUCCACCGGUAAAAAGAAGAGUGGCGAACGGGUGAGUAACACGUGGGUAACCUGCCCAUCAGAAGGGGAUAACACUUGGAAACAGGUGCUAAUACCGUAUAACAAUCGAAACCGCAUGGUUUUGAUUUGAAAGGCGCUUUCGGGUGUCGCUGAUGGAUGGACCCGCGGUGCAUUAGCUAGUUGGUGAGGUAACGGCUCACCAAGGCCACGAUGCAUAGCCGACCUGAGAGGGUGAUCGGCCACAUUGGGACUGAGACACGGCCCAAACUCCUACGGGAGGCAGCAGUAGGGAAUCUUCGGCAAUGGACGAAAGUCUGACCGAGCAACGCCGCGUGAGUGAAGAAGGUUUUCGGAUCGUAAAACUCUGUUGUUAGAGAAGAACAAGGAUGAGAGUAACUGUUCAUCCCUUGACGGUAUCUAACCAGAAAGCCACGGCUAACUACGUGCCAGCAGCCGCGGUAAUACGUAGGUGGCAAGCGUUGUCCGGAUUUAUUGGGCGUAAAGCGAGCGCAGGCGGUUUCUUAAGUCUGAUGUGAAAGCCCCCGGCUCAACCGGGGAGGGUCAUUGGAAACUGGGAGACUUGAGUGCAGAAGAGGAGAGUGGAAUUCCAUGUGUAGCGGUGAAAUGCGUAGAUAUAUGGAGGAACACCAGUGGCGAAGGCGGCUCUCUGGUCUGUAACUGACGCUGAGGCUCGAAAGCGUGGGGAGCAAACAGGAUUAGAUACCCUGGUAGUCCACGCCGUAAACGAUGAGUGCUAAGUGUUGGAGGGUUUCCGCCCUUCAGUGCUGCAGCUAACGCAUUAAGCACUCCGCCUGGGGAGUACGACCGCAAGGUUGAAACUCAAAGGAAUUGACGGGGGCCCGCACAAGCGGUGGAGCAUGUGGUUUAAUUCGAAGCAACGCGAAGAACCUUACCAGGUCUUGACAUCCUUUGACCACUCUAGAGAUAGAGCUUCCCCUUCGGGGGCAAAGUGACAGGUGGUGCAUGGUUGUCGUCAGCUCGUGUCGUGAGAUGUUGGGUUAAGUCCCGCAACGAGCGCAACCCUUAUUGUUAGUUGCCAUCAUUCAAUU